rnacentral:lncRNA from 1 species
UUGGUUUUCCUUAUGGUAAAGGUUGAAUGUGGUUGCUUUUGAACAAUGCACAUGGGUUUGAACAAUUUUGAGAAAGGGAUAGAUAUAUAUGUAUAUACGUUAGUUGAGGAAUAGUUGGUGAUUUAUAGAUGAUAUUAAAAUAUUUUGAUUGCAUGUGAUUUUUAAAGUUCAAAUUGAAUUUGCUUUGUUUUAUUGGCUAAUGUAGUUGCUUUGAAAAUUUCAUUGUAGCCUUGUUAUGUGGUUUUAAGAAGUUUUAGGCAAGAACUUAUCGUGCAAAAA